UACGUAGGGCGCAAGCGUUGUCCGGAAUUAUUGGGCGUAAAGAGCUCGUAGGCGGCCUGUUGCGUCCGCUGUGAAAUCCCGGGGCUCAACCCCGGGCGUGCAGUGGAUACGGGCUGGCUGGAGGCAGGCAGGGGAGAACGGAAUUCCUGGUGUAGCGGUGAAAUGCGCAGAUAUCAGGAAGAACACCAAUGGCGAAGGCAGCUCUCUGGGACGGUACUGACGCUGAGACGCGAAAGCGUGGGGAGCGAACAGG
rnacentral:rRNA from 1 species